GGCCCCCUCUCCCGUCCAUGCCUGUGCUUUGUGUUGCGGCCCAAGACCCAGAAGACAGCAGGGAAACAGACCGGGUACUGUUUUGCCCGCUGUUUCCUCAGCGGCGGCGUGGCUCGAGGGAGAAGGUGACGCUGCUCGGGGCCCGCUGCACAGCCGUGGGGGCGGACGGCACUGGGUCUCAGGCCUCGGUGCCCAGCAGCGCAGCUGCUGCCUCAGGCCACCCCCUUGGGAACUCCGAGGGCCCAGGCUGGAGUGACGCUCCCCACCCAGCUCAGGGGAUCAGGCCCUCCCACCCUGCGCUCGGUAGGAGGCAGGCAGGGAGGGUUCUUCCAGUCAGGGCCUGGAGAGCUUUGGCUUUUUGUUUUCAUUUGCUAAGAGAAAGAAAAGGGGGAACCGUGUGGGUCCAACUCAUCUGAAAUGUACAGAACCUAUGUGCUACGCACAUUAGGUCGUGCCGGAUUUUUAUGUAGCUAAAGGAGUCUCUUAUUGGGUAUGAUGGCACACGCCUAUAGUCCCAGCAUUCAGGAGGCUGAGGCAGGAGGAUCACAGUGAGUUCGAGGCCAGCCUGAAUGACAUAGCAAGAGUCUAUCUCAAAAAAGUUUCUUGAAGGAAUGUAUACAGUGGCAGAGUUAAUGAAAAAGGACGUCUGAGAGGGAGGUGAUGCUACUAAGCAGGCCUACCCCGGUGGUUUCACAAUCAUGUCAGGAGUGACGCGAUACACUCAUCAGUCACGUCCCCAUUCCCGGGGUGUGCGCUCCUGAACUGGCAGGGCGACACACCUCUAGCACAGUGGCAUUCAAUGCAAUAGAAGACACACAAUUUAAAAUCUUGUCACAUUUAAAAAGUGAAAUGAACAGGUAAAAUUAGUGUUAAACAUUUUACUUUUAACUACUCCUGCAUAUAGUUAGUUCACCUACAUGUUUUCUCUUCACGGCAGAUUUGGUGUGUUUUUACACUUCCAACACAUCUCAGCUGGCGCAGCCACCCGGAAAGUGCUCAGAAGCCGCGGGGGGGCUGGCGGAGUCCUGGGCAGCCCUGGCAGAGUCCUCUGGGGAAGCUUACAAAGUCUCAGGGGUCUAGACCCGCACUUCUAAUGCGGCCAGGGCUCAGCCUCCCGGGGAUUACAAAGCUGCAGGGUCAGGUGGAGAAAACGUUGCUAAAUGCUCAGAAUGAGUCAGGGUGAUGGCCAUUUGCAGAGCUUCGGGUAUCACAAGGUUCCCAGCUCCCCGGAGAGCCAGUGAGCCGGCAGGCCCGGCUCCAGAGGGGGAGGGACGAAGUGCAGGGCCGAAGCCCCACCCUGUCUCACCACCCAAUCUGAGCCUCCUAAGGCUGAGGUGAAGGGAGGCCAGAGCCCAGCAGGAGGUGGCAGAGGCGCAGGCAGUGGGGGUGUGGAGAGCCUGGGGUCUCCAGGCAGAGGGCGGGGCCCGGGGAUGCUGCAGCGCAGUCUGGGGCUCUCCCUGGGGUUUCCUUUUGGCUGCCUGAAGGAGGAGACAGAAGCGGGGCGAGAAGCCGGGGAAGGAAGAGGAGGCGGAGGAGCGGUUGGACAUCCGCUCACACCCUCAGGCUCCAGCCCCUCCCUCGGGCCCUGCGGAACUGACACAGCUGGAGCUCAGAGUCCACAAAACGACGCUCGGGAAAGAGCGCCCCAGAGCUGCUUCCGAAAACGUAUGAACGACCUUUUCUGAACUCAAAAGUUAUCACUGCAGGAGUUUUGAACGGGUGAAAACAUGUACUUCUUCCGCCUUUAGCAGAUGCCUAAUAUAAAUUCAGGGUGAAAUUCUCUUCCAAAUGAGUUGCCACAGAGCCUGUGAAGGGACUAUGAACUCUUCCUUUGUUCCCCUACAUUACAGAACCCCAAGCUCCAAUGUGACUGUGUCCAAGCGGGGGAUCUGGAAGGUUCUCCAGAUCCAGUGCAAAGGGGAGAGCACCGAGGACCCCCCGUUUGCUCAGUGAAAGCUUUUCCCUUACAUCAUCACCAAAGGAAAUUUCAAGCGUUAAAUACAAAUGUCUCCCAGGGACAGAGGGUCCCCGACUUACAAGGCUCAGGCUGCCGUCUUAGUCUCCUCCCUGUCACCGGCACACAAUGCCUGACGCCCACAGCGUAAGGCAGGGGAGGCUGACUCCGGCUCAGGCUUCAGUCCCAGGCGGAAACAAGAUGGUGGAGGGGCUUGGGGGAGGAAACGCUGCUCAGCUCACGGCGGCCAGGAAGCAGCGUGAGGAGGGGGAAGGCGGGGAAGGAGACCCGCCCUUUCCGUCCCUCCCCGGUGAGCACCCCCCCUCCAGCAGUGCCUGUGAAUGGAUUAACCCGCUGCUCAGUGUACUGUCUCAUGAUCCUGACUUCCAGAAGCCCCACCUCUGAGCACAUGGGAGUUCUGAGCAACAUUCCAGAUCUAAGCCGUAACACUUGCAACUCAGCGAACCCAUCACGGUGCAAAAGCGGUGAACACCCAUCAGAAACCGUGUUUGGAAUUCUGAUCGUGGCCAGGACUGCACUGACCGCAGUCUGAUUUUCUCCCCUAGCUGAACCCCAGUGGUGACCUGCGCUGGGCCACAAGGUCAGAGGGGAAGCUCCGUGCCUCUGCGGCGUGUGCCGUGGAGCUAGGCAGUGGCAGGCUGGGCGUAGGUACCAGGUGCGUUCUGCCUGUGACGCUCCCAACUUAGCACGCGUCCGCCAGGAGGAAGCCCCUGCUAGGAGGAGACUCUACUCUUUGAACGGGUUCAUUGUUACUGUUGUUUUAUUGAAUACCAGUCAAAGGUCUUGUAUCCUACUGCAUUGCUUUUUGCUGCUCAUUAUAAAAGGCGAUGUCUCAAGAUUCCAUUCCCCAGCGAGCAUAUUUCAAAGACAGACAGAAAACCUUUGCGUCCCACACUGACGCGGGUGGGUUCGCAGGACGCUCACAGCCGGCAAGAAACGCUUGUCCUUCCUCUCAACCCACGGUGACCUCGCUGUGUUCCAGACACAGGGAAGAUGGGAACCACGCCACGCAGUACACUGGCCCGAGGCCUCCCAGUAAGUCUCCAAAUAAUGCUGAGCAACCACGCUCCCUCUUACAUUUGUAAUCAACAUCUGAACGUUUCUUUCAUGAGUUCAAUUGGUUGCAACAGAUGUACAAUAUAAAUAUGCGUGUUUUUAAUUAAACAUCUCAUCACUUUCAAAGGAGUAACCCGAGGAAUGCGGUAUUGGUACUUUCACACCAGCACCCUCCCUGGAAAAGUGUGACUAAGUCUGUCCUUCGGCAGAAUUUUCGACCGCGUCUCUUCUUUGUUGAACUUAUUUCUACCCUCCUGCCGGACAGAAUCGCAUCUUAACCAAACUGCUUCACACUUGAGAGAUUUUUUUUUUUAAAAAAUCAAAUCUGUGUAUAAAAUAUGCAUAGAAAUUACAUUUUAAUGGUCAAUCUCCUUUCACCCUAAGGUGGUAGUGUUAAAUUCUCUGUGUAUCAAGUCAUCAUUGUGACAAUGUACACAUAUACAUGUAACUUUUUGUGUGAUUCUCGAGAUCAAACCUAGGGCCUUGCAUAUGCCAGACGGGUGCUCUACCUGCACACUGCCCGCUGGCAGCAGAAAAAUGCUAGAAGCUGUGACCUCUGUAAAACAAACAUGUAAAAUUAAACAUGAUAAUGUUUAAUGAGUAAUGAGUAAAUAAGUCUUUUUAAUUAAUUCCUUAAAAGUGACUGGAAUCUUUACUCCUGGGGUAAGGCAGGGCUUGACAUAGCCGCUCUCAGAUCUGCCGUCUGUAUGAGCCACGAGCACCGGGAGACUGCUCAGUGGGUAACCAGAGCUGAAGUUAGGGGGUUUACUCUAGCUACAUCACCCCGCUCCGUUUUUAAGACUCUUCCUCUGCUACAGGCCAAACGGUUUAGUUGGCCCAUCACGGGGACGAUGCGUAAUGAUCUAUUAUAUGACCACUCAAGUCCUUUGUGGAUUUGGUUAGAAAGGAAAGCUGGAGGGCAGCUGGCUUCAGAGAGGUUUCCCGCCGAGCCCCGGAGCUCCUCAUCUGCUCUGCCCAUGUGAUGCGGCCACCUGUCCUGUUCAGCACCAGGAACAGAUCUGUCCACCCCAGUGAUGUCCCCAGAGCACAAGACCCCAGCCCGUCUCUAGCAGGGAGCAGUGGGCAUUUGUCAGACUCAGUGGACGGAUGCUGGCGAGUUCUCGGGACAGCGGGUCUGGGAGGGGCCUGUGUGAUGGGACGACUCUGGAAGUGGACUCCCUGGGAAAUCCUGGUGUUUUCCCGGGGUGCACACCUGGGUCAGACCCUCAGGUGGACACAAUAGGGUUCCAUAAUGGGAGAGCAUGGGUGGUGGCGUUUAGAGAAGAUGUCACGGAAUACAGGAGCAGGGCCGUCAGGAGAGACAGGAAGCUGCCUACGGAACCACAGGACUUGGGCAGACGCGGAGGGAAGGUGGUUCAAAGAGGGCAAAGCAUACACGCAUGGGGCUGCGGGGAACGAUCAGGUGCUGGACAGGUGUUGGGAUUCCCUGUCCCACAGUGUGCAAAAGACUGUGUGUGCACGCACAUGUGACAAUGCUCAGGAGCUAGGGUUCAGAAACGAGGCUCAGGACCAGCCCUCCGCCACCAGCACCACAUGGGUUCUGCCCGACUGAGGCUUGCUACCCUCCUGUCCUCUGAUUGGCCCUUAGGCUCAGUUUUUUGAAUGGAGUUGAACUGUGUAUUACUCUUCAAAAUCACAGACUCUUCCGUCUUACGGGCCCCACUUAGCAUUUUAUGUGAAUGUGCUUACCAAGAACCCCCGCAGACAGGGCCCCUCAGAGACCAGUGGUAGAAGCAGCAGCACAGUGAGCGGACCAUAGAACACCAGUGCUCACAUUCGUAUUUUCUCAACAAGGCAAGAUGAUAAAGAUGGAAAGCUUGUACAGCUCUAAAACCCACCUGAUUAUUCUGGGAGUCCGGCAUUGCAUUCUUAGUACCAAGCUUUCCCUAGUCCUCCUGUUGUAAGUGGCCAUUCGAACCUUGGGCUGAGGAAUUUUGAGUGUAUCGCAUUGUGAGACAGAGCUGUGUACGUACUGCUGUUCUUUAAAAACAUACAGAGGAGAAAGCUGCUGCUUUCACCCGUGCAGCACUGCCUCCCUCCCUGCUCGUGUCUGAUGAAUUCCAUCGUCUUGCAGGUAGCCUGCUCCUACUCCCU